rnacentral:rRNA from 1 species
UGGUGAAGUUUUCGGAUGGAACCGGGGUAUUCUUAGUGGCGGACGGGUGAGUAACGCGUGAGUAACCUGCCUUUCAGAGGGGGAUAACGUUUUGAAAAGAACGCUAAUACCGCAUGACAUAUUGAGGCUGCAUGGCUUUGAUAUCAAAGGAGCAAUCCGCUGAAAGAUGGACUCGCGUCCGAUUAGCCAGUUGGCGGGGUAAAGGCCCACCAAAGCGACGAUCGGUAGCCGGACUGAGAGGUUGAACGGCCACAUUGGGACUGAGACACGGCCCAGACUCC